AGUGAACGCUGGCGGUAGGCCUAACACAUGCAAGUCGAACCGCAGCACAGGAGAGCUUGCUCUCUGGGUGGCGAGUGGCGGACGGGUGAGGAAUACAUCGGAAUCUACUCUGUCGUGGGGGAUAACGUAGGGAAACUUACGCUAAUACCGCAUACGACCUACGGGUGAAAGCAGGGGAUCUUCGGACCUUGCGCGAUUGAAUGAGCCGAUGUCGGAUUAGCUAGUUGGCGGGGUAAAGGCCCACCAAGGCGACGAUCCGUAGCUGGUCUGAGAGGAUGAGCAGGCACACUGGAGCUGAGACACGGUCAGGACGCCUACGGGAGGCAGCAGUGGGGAAUAUUGGACAAUGGGCGCAAGCCUGAUCCAGCCAUACCGCGUGGGUGAAGAAGGCCUUCGGGUUGUAAAGCCCUUUUGUUGGGAAAGAAAUCCAGCUGGUUAAUACCCGGUUGGGGUGACGGUACCCAAAGAAUAAGCACCGGCUAACUUCGUGCCAGCCGCCGCGGUAA
rnacentral:rRNA from 1 species